CCAAACAAAUCAACCCCGUUUCCACAUAUUCCUCCUCCCCAAAAGCCAAGCCCCAAAACCAGAUCCAGAUCUCUCUCCCCCCUUCCAAGACCCUUCUUCCUCCUUGAAACGAAGGCUCUCCAAAGCAGAUUGAACCCCAUCUGCCCCCCUCCAAGACCCUUCCUCCUCUGCGAGCCUACUCCGUCUAUCCCGAUCUCUUGAUCAGAGAAAAAGAUUGACGAGCUACACAAUCGUUCUUGAUCUUCAUCUCAUGUGCUGUUGAUUUCUGGUGAUUUUUGUAAUGUGAUCAAAUACCAUUUUACAACACCUGAGGAUUUUGUUGAGCAUUUAUGUAAUCUUCUUCAGUUGUAUAAGACUAUAAUUUGAUGUGGUGAUUUUGUUGAGGAGUGGUCUUAUGUGAUCAUUUAUGUAAUAUUGGCUUUAUUGA